rnacentral:tRNA from 1 species
GGAGAGGUGGCCGAGCGUCGGUCUAAGGCAGCCGCCUGCUAAGCGGUUGGACGCCCAAAAGGCGUCCCGUGGGUUCGAAUCCCACCCUCUCCGCCA